rnacentral:rRNA from 1 species
GACGAACGCUGGCGGCGUGCGUAACACAUGCAAGUCGAACGGAAAGACCCUGCUUUUGUGGGGUGCUCGAGUGGCGAACGGGUGAGUAACACGUGAGUAACCUGCCCUUGACUUUGGGAUAACUUCAGGAAACUGGGGCUAAUACCGGAUAGGAGCUCCUGCUGCAUGGUGGGGGUUGGAAAGUUUCGGCGGUUGGGGAUGGACUCGCGGCUUAUCAGCUUGUUGGUGGGGUAGUGGCUUACCAAGGCUUUGACGGGUAGCCGGCCUGAGAGGGUGACCGGCCACAUUGGGACUGAGAUACGGCCCAGACUCCUACGGGAGGCAGCAGUGGGGAAUAUUGCACAAUGGGCGGAAGCCUGAUGCAGCAACGCCGCGUGCGGGAUGACGGCCUUCGGGUUGUAAACCGCUUUCGCCUGUGACGAAGCGUGAGUGACGGUAAUGGGUAAAGAAGCACCGGCUAACUACGUG